UACGAAGGGGGCUAGCGUUGCUCGGAAUCACUGGGCGUAAAGCGCACGUAGGCGGAUUGCUAAGUCAGGGGUGAAAUCCUGGAGCUCAACUCCAGAACUGCCUUUGAUACUGGCGAUCUUGAGUCCGGGAGAGGUGAGUGGAAUUCCGAGUGUAGAGGUGAAAUUCGUAGAUAUUCGCAAGAACACCAGUGGCGAAGGCGGCUCACUGGCCCGAUACUGACGCUGAGGCACGAAAGCGUGGGGAGCAAACAGG
rnacentral:rRNA from 1 species